UACGUAGGGUGCAAGCGUUAAUCGGAAUUACUGGGCGUAAAGCGUGCGCAGGCGGCUUUGCAAGACAGAUGUGAAAUCCCCGGGCUUAACCUGGGAACUGCAUUUGUGACUGCAUGACUGGAGUGCGGCAGAGGGGGAUGGAAUUCCGCGUGUAGCAGUGAAAUGCGUAGAUAUGCGGAGGAACACCGAUGGCGAAGGCAAUCCUCUGGGCCUGCACUGACGCUCAUGCACGAAAGCGUGGGGAGCAAACAGG
rnacentral:rRNA from 1 species